UACAGAGGGUGCAAGCGUUGUUCGGAAUUAUUGGGCGUAAAGGGAGUGUAGGCGGUUUCCUAAGUCUUCUGUGAAAUCUACGGGCUUAGCCUGUAACGUGCAGAGGAAACUGGGAGACUUGAGUGUCGGAGAGGAUAGGGGAAUACCCGGGGUAGAGGUGAAAUUCGUAGAGAUCGGGUGGAACACCAGUGGCGAAGGCGCCUGUCUGGCUGACAACUGACGCUGAGACUCGAAAGCAUGGGGAGCAAACAGG
rnacentral:rRNA from 1 species